rnacentral:rRNA from 1 species
AACGAACGCUGGCGGCAGGCCUAACACAUGCAAGUCGAACGUGAAGCCACCUUCGGGUGGUGGAAAGUGGCAGACGGGUGAGUAACGCGUAGGAACGUGCCUUUCGGUUCGGGAUAACCCAGGGAAACUUGGGCUGAUACCGGAUACGCCCUCCGGGGGAAAGAUUCAUUGCCGAAAGAUCGGCCCGCGUCGGAUUAGCUAGUUGGUGGGGUAAAAGCCUACCAAGGCGACGAUCCGUAGCUGGUCCGAGAGGAUGACCAGCCACACUGGGACUGAGACACGGCCCAGACUCCUACGGGAGGCAGCAGUGGGGAAUAUUGGACAAUGGGCGCAAGCCUGAUCCAGCCAUGCCGCGUGGGUGAAGAAGGCCCUAGGGUUGUAAACCCCUUUCAGCGGGGAAGAUAAUGACGGUACCCGCAGAAGAAGCCCCGGCUAACUCCGUGCCAGCCGCCGCCGUAA